rnacentral:rRNA from 1 species
AUUGAACGCUGGCGGCAGGCCUAACACAUGCAAGUCGAACGGUAACAGGAAACAGCUUGCUGUUUCGCUGACGAGUGGCGGACGGGUGAGUAAUGUCUGGGAAACUGCCUGAUGGAGGGGGACAACUACUGGAAACGGUAGCUAAUACCGCAUAACGUCGCAAGACCAAAGAGGGGGACCUUCGGGCCUCUUGCCAUCGGAUGUGCCCAGAUGGGAUUAGCUAGUAGGUGGGGUAACGGCUCACCUAGGCGACGAUCCCUAGCUGGUCUGAGAGGAUGACCAGCCACACUGGAACUGAGACACGGUCCAGACUCCUACGGGAGGCAGCAGUGGGGAAUAUUGCACAAUGGGCGCAAGCCUGAUGCAGCCAUGCCGCGUGUAUGAAGAAGGCCUUCGGGUUGUAAAGUACUUUCAGCGGGGAGGAAGGGAGUAAAGUUAAUACCUUUACUCAUUGACGUUACCCGCAGAAGAAGCACCGGCUAACUCCGUG